CCCUAGUAUUAAUUUUAUAAAAUAAGUAUUAUGUAAUGAAAUUUAAUAAUUUUGGCGGUUAUUUAUUAUUUAGAGGAGCUUGUUUGAAAUUAGAAUUUGCUCUUUAUAUUUAAAAUAUAUGAAGUUUAUUCAUCUCCGUUAUUAGAAUAAAGUUUUAAAAAGAUUAGAUUUUUGAAUUCAGGUCAAGAUGUAAUAUUUAUUUUUAUUAAUUAGCUACAAUUUUGGAGAAGUGGAUUUUAAAUUAUAAAAUAGAAUGAAAAUGAAUUUGAUUGUAAUAUUAUAAUUAGAAUAUUAAUAUGAAAUAAUAUAUUUAAUGUU
rnacentral:rRNA from 1 species